GCCCCGGCGGGGCAGGGGGCUCCCGGCGCUCGGCCCCGGCGGCGGGCGCGGGGCGCGGGCCGAGUCUACCUGCCGCUGUUUCGUUUGCAGCCAUGCCCUGUGUUCAGGCUCAGUAUGGGUCCUCGCCUCAAGGAGCCAGCCCGGCCUCCCAGAGCUACAGCUACCACUCCUCGGGAGAAUACAGCUCCGAUUUCCUAACUCCGGAGUUUGUCAAGUUUAGCAUGGACCUCACCAACACCGAAAUCACCGCCACCACUUCUCUCCCCAGCUUCAGUACCUUUAUGGACAACUACAACACGAGCUACGACGUGAAGCCCCCCUGCUUGUACCAAAUGCCCCUGUCCGGACAGCAGUCCUCCAUUAAGGUGGAAGACAUUCAGAUGCACGGCUACCAGCAGCACGGCCACCUGCCCCCCCAGUCCGAGGAGAUGAUGUCCCACUCGGGCUCCGUCUACUACAAGCCCUCGUCGCCCCCGACCCCCUCCACGCCCGGCUUCCAGGUGCAGCACGGCCCCGUGUGGGACGACCCCGGCUCCCUGGGGGGCGGCGGGGGAGCCCGCGGGGCCGGCAGCCCGCAGAUGGAAAUGGGUUAGGACAGAGAACUGCGUCUGAGCUAACCAUGUGGAACAGAAUUCCCUGUGGUAAAAUUAAGUGAUCUCUUUAUUUCACCAUCCUGAUUGAAUAAUCUUAUCAUUUUAAAUAGAGGAGGUCUCCAAGGAAUGUAAAUAAUAUGAAUGCCCACGGAUUUGUAUUUACCGAGCGUCUCUUUCCCUCCUCUUGGCAUAUAAAACACGGCUAGGAGCUGCGAGGUUAGCUUGGAUGUUAACCGAAGGAAACAAAGCGAAAAAACGGAAAGGAAAAUAAAGGGGGGGAAAGGCAACAGCAGACCAAGGGGAAGGCGGCAGGGGCAGGGGCGGCAGGGGCGCUCCCCGGGCGGGCGCUGACCCGCUGCCGCCCCCGGCCCGCAGCGCACGGUGCAGAAGAACGCCAAGUACGUGUGUCUGGCCAACAAGAACUGCCCCGUGGACAAGCGCCGCCGCAACCGCUGCCAGUACUGCCGCUUCCAGAAGUGCCUGGCCGUCGGCAUGGUCAAGGAGGUGGUGCGCACAGACAGCCUAAAAGGCCGGCGGGGCCGCUUGCCGUCCAAACCGAAGAGCCCCCAGGAGCCUUCUCCCCCCUCUCCCCCGGUGAGUCUGAUCAGUGCGCUGGUGAGAGCCCAUGUCGACUCCAACCCGGCUAUGACCAGCCUGGACUAUUCCCGGUUCCAGGCUAACCCCGACUACCAGCUGAGCGGUGACGACACCCAGCACAUCCAGCAGUUCUACGAUCUCCUGACCGGCUCCAUGGAGAUCAUCCGAGGGUGGGCGGAAAAAAUCCCCGGCUUCACCGACCUCCCCAAAACGGACCAGGACCUGCUCUUCGAGUCCGCCUUCCUGGAGCUGUUCGUGCUGCGGCUGGCGUACAGGUCCAACCCCGUGGAGGGGAAGCUGAUCUUCUGCAACGGGGUGGUCCUGCACCGGUUGCAGUGCAUCCGUGGCUUUGGGGAGUGGAUCGAUUCCAUCGUGGAAUUCUCCUCCAACUUGCAGAACAUGAACAUCGACAUCUCUGCCUUCUCCUGCAUCGCUGCCCUGGCCAUGGUGACAGAGAGGCACGGGCUUAAGGAACCCAAGAGGGUGGAAGAGCUUCAGAACAAGAUUGUAAAUUGUCUCAAAGACCACGUGACUUUCAAUAACGGGGGGCUGAAUCGCCCCAACUAUUUGUCCAAACUCUUGGGGAAGCUCCCCGAACUCCGCACGCUUUGCACACAGGGGCUGCAGCGCAUUUUCUACCUGAAACUGGAGGAUUUGGUGCCACCGCCAGCAAUAAUUGACAAACUUUUCCUGGACACUUUACCUUUCUAAGACUCUUCCCGCACGCUUCCGCUGACCCGAGGAGAAGCUCCACCUGCCUGAAGGGGAGCUGGUCUGGGCCCAGAGCAGCACCCCUGGGUGCCAGCUCCCACCCAGCCAGAGUUGCAACUCCUGCAGGCAGAACGCGAUGGGCAUUUUGGCUCUGGGGCAUCAUGGAUGCAGCUCACGGACCACACAAAUACCAUGGUAUAAACUUUUUAUUAUCGGCUUCUAAAUGAGUUUAUUAUUGAGGACUUUGGUGCGAAAGGCAAGCGGUGACAGACCAAGCGUUGAGGCGGCCCACGAGCCUCACCCUCCUAAAGACUAAAGUUUUCUGCAGCAAAAGAAAGCUGUAACACACCCAAACCCCAAACGUGGCGUGGGUGGCGUGGCAUUAAUGAAGGCGAAGGCUUGUAAAUUUAUCAGAUGUUUGGCUUUUUAAAAAAAAAAAAAUUCUUCUGUGCCUAUUUAUGAUGAAACAUGGAAAAUGAUUCUAAAAAAAAAAAGAAUCAAAAAUAAAAGCUAGAUGUGUUCGGGGAAAAAAAAAUUAAAAAGAGGAGAAUUAAAAAAAUAAAAAAAAGAGAAAACCCAAUCUGUCCAUACCAGGGAAGCAUGACGAUUCCAGGGUGACAAUGUUAUAGGCACUUGCUAUUUCAGUAAUGUCUAUAUUCUAUAAAUAGUAUUUCAGACACUAUGUAGUCUGGUAGCUUUUAUAAAGACUGGUAGUUAUCUAAGCUUCAAACAUUUUCUCAAUUGUAAAAUAGGUGGGCACAAGUGUUACCCCCGGAAUCCCCCCCAAAGGGACACAUAGUGUUUGUAAACACCGCCCGACACCCCUUGUUUGUAAGUGUUGUAUGUACUGUUGAUGUUGAUUAAAGAAGAAGUUUAUAUCUUGAUUAUUUUGUUGUCUAAAGCUAAACAGAUCUUGCAUGCAGCAGCUUUUGACUGUUUCCAGAGUGCUUAUACUAUACGUAACUCCCUGGAAAUUACUGAGCACUUUGAAUUCUUGGUUUGUUUUGUUCCAUUUGUUUUUUUAUGUCUAAAAAUUGUCGGUUAAUAUAUUAUUUUAUGUUCGAGUAAUAUUUUUAAUAUUGCCAUAUUCUGUAGUAUUUUUCUUUGUAUACCCCGGUUUGGCACACGGGAAAGUCGCUGCCUUUUUUUAAUAUGGUGUACGACAGUUAGAAACGCGGAUUAUUAUUAUUAUUAUAAUUAUUAUUAUUAUUAUUUUUUCUCCCGAGAACUCUUUCUUUGAGAAAGACAAUUUUAAUGUUU